rnacentral:rRNA from 1 species
UACGUAGGGUGCAAGCGUUAAUCGGAAUUACUGGGCGUAAAGCGUGCGCAGGCGGCUUUGCAAGACAGAUGUGAAAUCCCCGGGCUUAACUUGGGAACUGCAUUUGGGACUGCAAGGCUAGAGUACGGCAGAGGGGGGUAGAAUUCCUGGUGUAGCAGUGAAAUGCGUAGAUAUCAGGAGGAAUACCGAUGGCGAAGGCAGCCCCCUGGGUCGAUACUGACGCUCAUGCACGAAAGCGUGGGGAGCAAACAGG